rnacentral:rRNA from 1 species
GUCUUUUUGAUAAUAAUUUAAAGUCUAACCUGCCCUAUGAUAUAGAUUAAAUGGCCGCGAUAUUUUGAUCGUGCAAAGGUAGCAUAAUCAUUAGUUUCUUAAUUAGGAACUGGAAUGAAAGGUUGAACGAAAAAAAAACUGUCUCAAUUUAAUUUUUUUAGAAUUUUAUUUUUAAGUAAAAAAGCUUAAAUAUUUUUAAAAGACGAGAAGACCCUAUAGAGUUUUAUAUUUAGAUAAUUUUUAAAAAAAUAUAGUAUAUAAUUUUUAUUAUUUAAUAAGUAUUUAGUUGGGGUGACUAAAAAAUUUAAUAAACUUUUUUUAAUUUAAAACAUUUAUAUAUGAAAAAUUGAUCCAUUAAUUAUGAUUAAAAGAUUAAAUUACCUUAGGGAUAACAGCGUUAUUUUUUUUAAGAGUUCUUAUCGAAAGAAAAGUUUGCGACCUCGAUGUUGGAUUAAAAUUUACUUAUGGUGUAGGUGCUAUACAGUUAGGUCUGUUCGACCUUUAAAAUUUUACA